GGGGAGAAAAGUAGGGGAUCGUCAAGACCUGGCGUUAAUGGAGCGGCCGAUAUCUGAUUAGCUAGUUGGUGGGGUAAGGGCCCACCAAGGCGACGAUCAGUAGCUGGUCUGAGAGGACGACCAGCCACACUGGAACUGAGACACGGUCCAGACUCCUACGGGAGGCAGCAGUGGGGAAUUUUGGACAAUGGGCGCAAGCCUGAUCCAGCCAUUCCGCGUGAGUGAAGAAGGCCUUCGGGUUGUAAAGCCCUUUCGCAAGGGAAGAAAACUUAUCCUCUAACAUAGGUAUAAGG
rnacentral:rRNA from 1 species